GUGCCUUCGGGAACUCUGAGACAGGUGCUGCAUGGCUGUCGUCAGCUCGUGUUGUGAAAUGUUGGGUUAAGUCCCGCAACGAGCGCAACCCUUAUCCUUUGUUGCCAGCGAUUCGGUCGGGAACUCAAAGGAGACUGCCGGUGAUAAACCGGAGGAAGGUGGGGAUGACGUCAAGUCAUCAUGGCCCUUACGAGUAGGGCUACACACGUGCUACAAUGGCGUAUACAAAGAGAAGCGACCUCGCGAGAGCAAGCGGAACUCAUAAAGUACGUCGUAGUCCGGAUUGGAGUCUGCAACUCGACUCCAUGAAGUCGGAAUCGCUAGUAAUCGUAGAUCAGAAUGCUACGGUGAAUACGUUCCCGGGCCUUGUACACACCGCCCGUCACACCAUGGGAGUGGGUUGCAAAAGAAGUAGGUAGCUUAACCUUCGGGAGGGCGCUUACCACUUUGUGAUUCAUGACUGGGGUGAAGUCGUAACAAGGUAACCGUAGGGGAACCUGCGGUUGGAUCACCUCCUUA
rnacentral:rRNA from 5 species